rnacentral:rRNA from 1 species
GAUGAACGCUGGCGGCGUGCCUAAUACAUGCAAGUCGAGCGAACAGACGAGGAGCUUGCUCCUCUGACGUUAGCGGCGGACGGGGGAGUAACACGUGGAUAACCUACCUAUAAGACUGGGAUAACUUCGGGAAACCGGAGCUAAUACCGGAUAAUCUAUUGAACCGCAUGGUUCAAUAGUGAAAGACGGCUUUGCUGUCACUUAUAGAUGGAUCCGCGCCGCAUUAGCUAGUUGGUAAGGUAACGGCUUACCAAGGCAACGAUGCGUAGCCGACCUGAGAGGGUGAUCGGCCACACUGGAACUGAGACACGGUCCAGACUCCUACGGGAGGCAGCAGUAGGGAAUCUUCCGCAUUGGGCGAAAGCCUGACGCAGCAACGCCGCGUGUGUGGUGAAGGUCUUCGGAUCGUAAAACUCUGUUAUUGGGGAAGAACAAAUGUGUAAGUAACUAUGCACGUCUUGACGGUACCUAAUCAGAAAGCCACGGCUAACUACGUG